AGUGAACGCUGGCGGUAGGCCUAACACAUGCAAGUCGAACGGCAGCACAGUAAGAGCUUGCUCUUACGGGUGGCGAGUGGCGGACGGGUGAGGAAUACAUCGGAAUCUACUUUUUCGUGGGGGAUAACGUAGGGAAACUUACGCUAAUACCGCAUACGACCUACGGGUGAAAGCAGGGGAUCUUCGGACCUUGCGCGAUUGAAUGAGCCGAUGUCGGAUUAGCUAGUUGGCGGGGUAAAGGCCCACCAGGGUGACGAUCCGUAGCUGGUCUGAGAGGAUGAUCAGCCACACUGGAACUGAGACACGGUCCAGACUCCUACGGGAGGCAGCAGUGGGGAAUAUUGGACAAUGGGCGCAAGCCUGAUCCAGCCAUACCGCGUGGGUGAAGAAGGCCUUCGGGUUGUAAAGCCCUUUUGUUGGGAAAGAAAAGCAGCAGGUUAAUACCCCGCUGUUCUGACGGUACCCAAAGAAUAAGCACCGGCUAACUUCGUG
rnacentral:rRNA from 1 species